rnacentral:lncRNA from 1 species
GGGGAUUGGUUGAUCGGAAAGCUCAAGCAGGAGUAGGACAUUCCAUAUAAAUCUUUCUGAUCCGCUAGCUGGUGGUCCUCUCCUUAGAGUCAAGUGGCUUUCAGCUCCUCUCAAAUCCCAUUUUUUCAUCGACAGGUAGGGUGAAUUCUAAGGUUCCUCUCCUUAGAGUCAAGUGGCUUUCAGCUCCUCUCAAAUCCGAAGCGACCGUGCUAGAACCACGGGAUGCGGGGGUGUCUAACACUUUCCUUCGGGUCAACAGAAUUCCUUAUUCAGAAUUUCUGGUUCGCAAACUCCAUUCGGGAAGUCGAAGUUUUCCUCGGUUCGG